UACGUAGGUGGCAAGCGUUGUCCGGAUUUAUUGGGUUUAAAGGGUGCAUAGGCGGCUUUGUAAGUCAGUGGUGAAAUAUGGCAGCUCAACUGUCAAGGUGCCAUUGAUACUGCAGAGCUUGAGUACAGAUGAGGUAGGCGGAAUUGACGGUGUAGCGGUGAAAUGCUUAGAUAUCGUCAAGAACACCUAUAGCGAAGGCAGCUUACUAGGCUGUAACUGACGCUGAGGCACGAAAGUGUGGGGAUCAAACAGG
rnacentral:rRNA from 1 species